CAGCCGCCGCGGUAAUACGAAGGGUGCAAGCGUUAAUCGGAAUUACUGGGCGUAAAGCGUGCGUAGGCGGUGAGUUAAGUCUGCUGUGAAAUCCCCGGGCUCAACCUGGGAAUGGCAGUGGAUACUGGCUCGCUAGAGUGUGUCAGAGGAUGGUGGAAUUCCCGGUGUAGCGGCGAAAUGCGUAGAGAUCGGGAGGAACAUCAGUGGCGAAGGCGGCCAUCUGGGACAACACUGACGCUGAGGCACGAAAGCGUGGGGAGCAAACAGGAUUAGAUACCCCGGAGUCCCUGUCUCUUAUACA
rnacentral:rRNA from 1 species